UUGCGGCCACAUUACGUUGAAAUAUUGGUUCCCGUACGAUCACCGAAGUUACGACACGUUGAUUCUGCUCAGUACAUAGAUAGGUGACCGCUUGGGAAUACCAGGUGCUGUAAG